CACAACCAGUUACAGAUUUCUUU
rnacentral:piRNA from 2 species